rnacentral:rRNA from 1 species
GCAGGGGACCUUCGGGCCUUGCGCUAUCAGAUGAGCCUAGGUCGGAUUAGCUAGUUGGUGGGGUAAUGGCUCACCAAGGCGACGAUCCGUAACUGGUCUGAGAGGAUGAUCAGUCACACUGGAACUGAGACACGGUCCAGACUCCUACGGGAGGCAGCAGUGGGGAAUAUUGGACAAUGGGCGAAAGCCUGAUCCAGCCAUGCCGCGUGUGUGAAGAAGGUCUUCGGAUUGUAAAGCACUUUAAGUUGGGAGGAAGGGCAGUUACCUAAUACGUGAUUGUUUUGACGUUACCGACAGAAUAAGCACCGGCUAACUCUGUGCCAGCAGCCGCGGUAAUACAGAGGGUGCAAGCGUUAAUCGGAAUUACUGGGCGUAAAGCGCGCGUAGGUGGUUUGUUAAGUUGGAUGUGAAAUCCCCGGGCUCAACCUGGGAACUGCAUUCAAAACUGACUGACUAGAGUAUGGUAGAGGGUGGUGG